GCCAGCAUGGCAUAGUGGUUUGAGCAUUAGUCUACAACUCUGGAGACCAGGGUUCAAUUCCCAGCUUGGUCA